rnacentral:snRNA from 1 species
AUCCUAGUGCUAGGGCUUUACACAUACCAGUGAGGAGAAAUCCGAGGUUGUGUUUUUGCUAGUUGAAAACUAUACACUGACUACUCCUACUUGGCUACGGCCGGGUAGGGAAUUUUUGGAACCCAACGAG